CAGUAGCCACGGUAAUACGAGGGGGGCAAGCGUUGUUCGGAAUUAUUGGGCGUGAAGGGCGCGUAGGCGGUUUGGCAAGUUUGGUGUGAAAUCUUCGGGCUCAACUCGAAGUCUGCACCGAAAACUGCCGGGCUUGAGUAUGGGAGAGGUGAGUGGAAUUUCCGGUGUAGCGGUGAAAUGCGUAGAUAUCGGAAGGAACACCUGUGGCGAAAGCGGCUCACUGGACCAUUACUGACGCUGAGGCGCGAAAGCUAGGGGAGCAAACAGGAUUAGAUACCCGUGUAGUCCCUGUCUCUUAUAA
rnacentral:rRNA from 1 species